GAAAGCGAUCAUACCAGCACUAAAGCACCGGAUCCCAUCAAAACUCCGAAGUUAAGCGUGCUUGGGCGAGAGUAGUACAAGGAUGGGUGACCUCCUGGGAAGUCCUCGUGUUGCAUUCC
rnacentral:rRNA from 1 species